CAUUUUUAUAAUUAUUUCGUUACAAUAACACGGAAAGCACUUUCGAAUUUAUCACGCGGAUUUGCAAUAAUCUGUUGUCCGCGAUUUAUUUUAUAUUGUUAUAUAUUUUUAUAAUUCGCUGUAUUUGUGAUUGAAAGAGGAGCGGAUAAGGUUCAACUACUUCAACUAAUUCUACGUCCAUCUUCAAUUCGUAUCGAUUAAAAAGAAUGGUUUUCGUAUACGGAGCUGGAGCGGUCGCAGCUACAUCAAACUCUGUUAGCAAAUAUCAAAGACCAAUUAGCCAAUAUCAGCCGGUCUGCAAGGCUCAGACUAAACAGUUCAUCAGCACAGAUUAUACAAAGGGUUUAGAAACCGCUAAAAAAGCUCCGAGUUAUCCCACUCAAGCGGGAAAAGCAGCUGUAAAAAUUGGAUACAAAUACGUUGUGAAAAUACUCAAGUGAUAGAUAGCUGGAUAAUUUUCUAGACGGAAAAGUAAUAAAAAAAAAUCAGGAAAUAAUUGAGUGUAUAGGAAAUACUUAAAUAUAGAUUCUAUACACUUGAGCUACAUAUUGAAAGGAAGUGUUUGCCGUUCCGGUUGACAUUUCUCGUUUUUGAGGUUAGUUUUGGCGGGUGAUGUUUUAUAGUAUCGUAUAAGUUACUUUAUUUUGUUUUUCUGUGAUGUUAACAUAAUAACAAACUUGACAAUGAAUUAUUUAAGUAGCGUUCAGUUCCUUGGCUUUAGAAGCCAACAAACUGCGGACGAAAGAUUAAACAAAGUCAACGCUGGAGAUGUGAAACAGAUUCAUUUUAAUGCCAUGAAAAUAAAACAAUUGUUUAUAAAAUAAUUAAAACGAUGAUUAUGUUUUUAAAUUAUUAAACAAAAUGUUAUAAAAUUGAUGUUUUAAUAAGAUUACUUACCUCGACAUUUUCUAACCUAACCUACAGCAAGAUGUUGCUGUGAAAAUUUAAAUGAUACUAGACCAUUGAUAAAAUAUCUGUAUUGGCUGAUAACCACACACUAUUUAUAAUAAUUGGUAAAAUAAAAACGUUGUUACAUUGUUUUCUUUAUA